AUGGUACACUUCAACUCUUCCUUCAUAUGUGCUGCUCCCAUCUACUAGCCGGACUGGCAUGAAAUCAGAGGCUGAAGAGAAAUGCACACAACCAGCUGAACGGUGCCAGAGGAAGAAAAGGUGAAAUGAGCUUAAUAUGGAAGAAAGUGUAAGCUUCCCCACCCCUGUGUGCUGAGAUGAUGAAGGUUUUUGUAUAUGCAUACAUAGUUUUCUGUGCAUGCAUGUGCAGACCUUGUUUCGUUGAUGUAUGUACUAUGUAGGUCUACUCUUAACCUUGACUAUUAAUAACAAUUAAACUUCAGAGUGCAUAUGUCAA